UGCAGUCGAGGGGCAGCAUCAUCAAAGCUUGCUUUGAUGGAUGGCGACCGGCGCACGGGUGAGUAACACGUAUCCAACCUGCCGACAACACUGGGAUAGCCUUUCGAAAGAAAGAUUAAUACCGGAUGGUAUAGUUUUCCCGCAUGGGAUGAUUAUUAAAGAAUUUCGGUUGUCGAUGGGGAUGCGUUCCAUUAGGCAGUUGGCGGGGUAACGGCCCACCAAACCUACGAUGGAUAGGGGUUCUGAGAGGAAGGUCCCCCACAUUGGAACUGAGACACGGUCCAAACUCCUACGGGAGGCAGCAGUGAGGAAUAUUGGUCAAUGGACGAGAGUCUGAACCAGCCAAGUAGCGUGAAGGAUGACUGCCCUAUGGGUUGUAAACUUCUUUUAUACGGGAAUAAAGUGGGCCACGUGUGGCUUUUUGUAUGUACCGUAUGAAUAAGGAUCGGCUAACUCCGUGCCAGCAGCCGCGGUAAUACGGAGGAUCCGAGCGUUAUCCGGAUUUAUUGGGUUUAAAGGGAGCGUAGGCGGGUUGUUAAGUCAGUUGUGAAAGUUUGCGGCUCAACCGUAAAAUUGCAGUUGAUACUGGCGACCUUGAGUGCAACAGAGGUAGGCGGAAUUCGUGGUGUAGCGGUGAAAUGCUUAGAUAUCACGAAGAACUCCGAUUGCGAA
rnacentral:rRNA from 1 species